rnacentral:rRNA from 1 species
CCUACGGGAGACAGCAGUGGGGAAUUUUGCGCAAUGCUCGUAAGAGUGACGCAGCGACGCCGCGUGAAUGACGAAGGCCUUCGGGUCGUAAAGUUCUUUCGACAGGGAAGAAAAUGCCUAUAAGUAACUGUGUAUGUAUUGACGGUACCUGUAUAAGCAGACCCGGCUAACUCCGUGCCAGCAGCCGCGGUAAUACGGAGGGGGCGAGCGUUGUUCGGAGGGACUGGGCGUAAAGAGCACGUAGGCGGUGUUGUAAGUCAUUAGUCAAAGACUAGAGCUCAACUUUAGUAAGGCUAGUGAUACUAUAAUACUAGAGUAUCAGAGAGGAUUGCAGAAUGCCUGGUGUAGCGGUGAAAUGCGUAGAUAGCAGGAGGAAUACCGUUAGCGAAGGCAGCAAUCUGGCUGGAAACUGACGCUGAGGUGCGAAAGCGUGGGUAGCAAACAGGAUUAGAUACCCUGGUAGUC